rnacentral:tRNA from 1 species
GAUUCAGUAGCUCAGUUGGUAGAGCACAUCCCUUUUAAGGAUGGGGUCCUGGGUUCGANNUUCGAGCCCCAGCUGGAUCACAA